rnacentral:rRNA from 1 species
UACGGAGGGUGCAAACGUUGCUCGGAAUCAUUGGGCGUAAAGCGCACGUAGGCGGCCGAUUAAGUCGGAUGUGAAAGCCCCGGGCUCAACCCGGGAAGUGCAUACGAAACUGGUCGGCUUGAAUAUGGAAGAGGGUCGCGGAAUUCCCGGUGUAGAGGUGAAAUUCGUAGAUAUCGGGAGGAACACCGGUGGCGAAGGCGGGUCUCUGGGCCGAUACUGACGCUGAGGAGCGAAAGCGUGGGGAGCGAACAGG